AACGAACGCUGGCGGCAUGCCUAACACAUGCAAGUCGAACGAGACCUUCGGGUCUAGUGGCGCACGGGUGCGUAACGCGUGGGAACCUGCCCUAGGUUCGGAAUAACUCCCCGCAAGGGGUGCUAAUACCGGAUAAUGUCUUCGGACCAAAGAUUUAUCGCCUUUGGAUGGGCCCGCGUUGGAUUAGCUAGUUGGUAGGGUAAAAGCCUACCAAGGCGACGAUCCAUAGCUGGUCUGAGAGGAUGAUCAGCCACACUGGGACUGAGACACGGCCCAGACUCCUACGGGAGGCAGCAGUGGGGAAUAUUGGACAAUGGGCGAAAGCCUGAUCCAGCAAUGCCGCGUGAGUGAUGAAGGCCUUAGGGUUGUAAAGCUCUUUUACCCGGGAUGAUAAUGACAUUACCGGGAGAAUAAGCUCCGGCUAACUCCGUG
rnacentral:rRNA from 1 species